CGCUCCGCCAGAUUUCUCCGUCGGCCCAAGUCCGAAAUAAAAUGCCGGCCCUCCUUUCCCUCCGCCCUUUCUUCUUUCCCCUACCCUUCCCGGACCUUCUCCACUCCUCCCCUCCUCCGCCGCUGCUCCCGCCUCGGCCGGCGCCACCUUCGCCGCCACUGGGAGCUCGCUCGACCCGAGCAGGCUCCGGAACGUGACCGUGAUAGCCCACGUCGAUCAUGGGAAGACCGCCCUCAUGGACCGGCUUUUUUCUCCGAGAGUGCGGCACCGACAUCCCCCACGAGCAGGCCCUCGACUUCGUCAGCCUCGAUGUGCGAGCGGGGCAUCACCAUCGCUUCCACGGCAAGAAACCAGCAGCACUAGUUCUUUAGAAGUAGCGAAGCUUCUUCUUUAGAUUUCCCAGAACCGAAGUUCGAUUUCUUGGCCAAGAAUCUUGUUUGUGAGUUCGAUGUUACUUCGAUUUCCUGGAGGGAUAAUGAGCUCAACAUGUUUGAUUCCCCUGGCCAUGCUGAUUUUGGGGGUAAAGUCGAACGAGUUGUUCGAAUGGUCGAGGGAGCUGUCUUAGUUGUUGAUGCUGGGGAAGCUUCCCUUGCACAAACAAAGUUUGUUCUUGCGAAAGCUUUUAACGAUGGGCUGCGUCCAAUUCUCCUCCUGAAUAAAGUUAACCGGCCUUCAGGUAUGCCUUAUUUGGAUUUCAUAUGGGAUAUGAUAUCGUUAUGAUGUAUGAAAAAGUGAUUGGUGCAAAGCAAUGCCUUAAUCACCAAUUGCUGGACUGUGGCUUCUGUAGGGAAGUCAUUGUGGCCUUAAUGAAGGUGGUACUAUAAGAUUCUAAGUGGAGAAAGUAGGGUGUGUCUGGGAGGUUUUGUAUGCAUUACAUUUAUAUGAAAAAGUAAUUUAGAUUUCUUCUCUACCCACUCUUAUAACUAAUGUCAUCUUUAGGAAUCAGACAAUGAUUUUUUGAGGGUAAGGAAUACCUUGUUGAAAUGUUAAGCAACAACGUACACAAAUAUAUGUUAUUGUUCCUUCUUAAUAUGAGCUGCCAUUUGUGUGCAUCAGCCUGACCUUGGAGGGAUAAAUCUGUGUUCAUUAUCUGUAUCAUUGUGAAGUAUAUUAACAUCUUACAGUUCCUUUUUGAAAUGCAUGUUAGACAUGUGAUUCCCACCCACCAGACUAAGCAAUCUUGAUGCAUCAAUUCAGUGGCUAGCAUGGUCUCAUCAUAUGGAUGGGCCAAGGAGUGAAUCCGAUUAUAAUCAAUAAUUGAAUUGUCCUAAAUGGAGCAAUUAAUUAGAUGGCGAGACAUUGCUGGUGGUUGAGACUCCAUUAUUAGAUGUAUAUUUGCAUAUAGCAGUUGUCUUGAAGGAAGAUGGGAAUUGAACCAUCAAAGUGGGAAACUCUUGGUGCUUGGGAGAGUGCAAGGUCUUUUUUGUAGGAAUCUUUUGGAAAUUAGGCGAUGAUGGUUUAGGAUCUGGAUCCAGAUAUGGAUUGCAUACUUGGUAAGAUGGAGAGAGAAUCAACUAAGUUUGCAAUCCAUUGAAGGAUAAACCUGGUUAAAUGAUAAAAAAUGGAGCUAUUCUGCCAAUGUUGUUCAAUUUUCUCAAAAUAACAUUAUUUUGGUCAAUAUGGGUUAAACCCAUUUAACUAGGACAACUUUCUUUUAUUUAUUUAUUUUUCUGUGUGUGUGAGGAGGGUAUGGGGAUGUUGAAUAAAUUUGUUCUAUGAAAUGGUGGUUAGUUUGUUCCUUUCCCUUUGCCUAUUUUACCACUUAUCCCCAUUUAAUGCCUAUUCAAAGCAAACAGCAUUUUGAAUCAUCCUGCAAUGAUUUGGGAAUUGCAAAUUUGUGAUCAAACAAAAAUUUUGACAACCUAAGAAGAGCAUUUUUGAGGAAGACUGAGCAACAGGGAUAGCUAUCCCACCCACAUGCAGGUUAAAGUUACAAGGAAAUUUUAAAGUUGUACAGGUGUGUGGUCAUGCGCAUGUCUGCAUGUGUAUGUGAGGUUUAGUUGGUUGAGGGGCAUAAGAAUAAAACUCUUCUGCUCUUUAAAAGUUAGGCAAGCUUGACAUCAUUCCUUUAAUUCACUUAUCUAUUUAUUGUUGUUUUGACAAUUGUUCAGCACUGCAUUAUUCUUGAACAUUUUGCAGCUUCCGACGAGACGUGAUGGAGUUGAGAGAUUUGGUAUUUGAUUUUUUUACAAAUCUCGGUGCCACAGGUGCAUUUAAAUUUUCAAUCUGAUAUUAACUUUUCAUGUUUUAUAUUCUAUGUCCAUCUUUUUUCAUGUUUAAAUGUAGCAUUUGAUUUUAUUUUAUUUCCUUUUCUGUAAGCAAUUUUUAUAAAGAGUUUUGCUUUAAUUUGGAUUUGGUUUAAUACAUCCUUAUGGUAGCAUGAUGCA